rnacentral:rRNA from 1 species
UACGGAGGGAGCUAGCGUUGUUCGGAAUUACUGGGCGUAAAGCGUGCGCAGGCGGUUUUGGAAGUCUGUCGUGAAAUCCCCGGGCUCAACCUGGGAAUUGCGAUGGAGACUGCAAGGCUGGAGUCUGGCAGAGGGGGGUAGAAUUCCACGUGUAGCAGUGAAAUGCGUAGAGAUGUGGAGGAACACCGAUGGCGAAGGCAGCCCCCUGGGUCAAGACUGACGCUCAUGCACGAAAGCGUGGGGAGCAAACAGG